rnacentral:rRNA from 1 species
UUUUUGAGUUUAAUUUAAAGUCUAAUCUGCCCACUGAUUUAAUAUUGAAGGGCUGCAGUAAUUUGACUGUACAAAGGUAGCAUAAUCAUUAGUCUUUUAAUUGAAGACUUGUAUGAAGGAUUUAAUGAAAUAUAAACUGUCUCUAAUUUAUAAAUAGAAUUUAAUUUUUUAGUUAAAAAGCUAAAAUAAGUUUAAAAGACGAGAAGACCCUAUAGAGUUUUAUAAUUUUUAGUUUUAAAUAUUUAUAUAAAAAUUUAUUAUAAAAAACUAUAAAUUAUUUUAUUGGGGUGAUAAAAAAAUUAAAUAAACUUUUUUUUUUAUUUAACAUAAAUAAGUGAAUAUUUGAUCCAAUAUAAUGAUUAUAAGAAAAAAUUACCUUAGGGAUAACAGCGUAAUAUUUUUUUUUAGUACAAAUAAAAAAAAAAGUUUGCGACCUCGAUGUUGGAUUAAGAUAAAAUUUAAAUGCAAAAGUUUAAAAUUUUGAUCUGUUCGAUCAUUAAAAUCUUACAUGAUCUGA